rnacentral:rRNA from 1 species
GUGGGGAAUCUUGCGCAAUGGGCGAAAGCCUGACGCAGCCAUGCCGCGUGAAUGAUGAAGGUCUUAGGAUUGUAAAAUUCUUUCACCGGGGACGAUAAUGACGGUACCCGGAGAAGAAGCCCCGGCUAACUUCGUGCCAGCAGCCGCGGUAAUACGAAGGGGGCUAGCGUUGCUCGGAAUUACUGGGCGUAAAGGGCGCGUAGGCGGACAGUUUAGUCAGAGGUGAAAGCCCAGGGCUCAACCUUGGAAUUGCCUUUGAUACUGGCUGUCUUGAGUACGGGAGAGGGGAGUGGAACUCCGAGUGUAGAGGUAAAAUUCGUAGAUAUUCGGAAGAACACCAGUGGCGAAGGCGACUCACUGGCCCGUUACUGACGCUGAGGCGCGAAAGCGUGGGGAGCAAACAGGAUUAGAAACCCGGGUAGUCC